AGAUCAAUUUUCUUGGUCAUACCUUUGUAUGUACUGGUCUUAUUGAUUUCUCCCUUCUGAUGAACCAUGAUGUCAUUAAUUUGGUGUUAUGGGGAAUCAGGACUAUUACUUUGAAAAAAUUAGAGUGUUUAAAGCAGGCUCACGCUUGAAUACAUUAGCAUGGAAUAAUGAAAUAGGACGUUUGAUUCUAUUUUGUUGGUUUCUAGGAUUGACGUAAUGAUUAAUAGGGAUAGUUG
rnacentral:rRNA from 1 species